CAGAUAUUUAGAAGUGUGUACGGAAAAUAAAUGGCCGAAAAAGAAGCACAAAAUGAUACUCAAAACAAACGAGAGAGGGG